rnacentral:rRNA from 1 species
GAUGAACGCUAGCGGCAGGCUUAAUACAUGCAAGACGAACGGUAACUGGUGUAGCAAUACAUUAGCAAGAGUGUCGUACGGGUGCGUAACACGUAUGCAACCUACCUUGUACAGGAGGAUAGCUCGGGGAAACUCGAAUUAACCCUCCAUGAGAUCACAGUGUGGCAUCACAUAGUGAUUAAAACUCAGGUGGUACAAGAUGGGCAUGCGUCNGAUUAGUUAGUUGGCGGGGUAAUGGCCCA